rnacentral:ncRNA from 1 species
UCAGUACGUUUAAGAUAAGCAGGCAAUAAAAAAGUGUUAAAAACAUCCACAAUGGUGGGCUUUUUUUUGUUGUGUUUAUUUUACGUAUUAUGACAUGGAUAGGGGGGAGUGUAGCUAUUUGAUGCUAUGCGUUUUUUCUCUAUGUCUUUUUAACGUUGGUAUGCAGACUAAAGAUUCCAUUGCGGAUUUUAGUCUGCAUUUUUUAU